rnacentral:rRNA from 1 species
GUCUACAGUCAUGCCACCCUGAACAUGCCCCAUCUCACUUGAUCUCAGAAGCUAAGCAGGGUCGGGCCUGGCUACCACUUGGAUGGGAGACCACCUAGGAAUACCAGGUGCUGUAGGUG